AUUGAACGCUGGCGGCAGGCCUAACACAUGCAAGUCGAGCGAGCGGCGGACGGGUGAGUAAUGUAUGGGGACUGCACGAUAGAGGGGGAUAACUACUGGAAACGGUGGUUAAUACCGCAUACUGUCGGAUAACCCAUAUGGGAUUAGCUAGUCGGUGAGUUAAUGGCUUACCUAGGCGACGAUCCCUAGCUGGUCUGAGAGGAUGAUCAGCCAGACUGUGACUGAGACACGGUCCAGACUCCGACGGAGGCAGCAGUGGGGAAUAGUGCACAAGGGGCGAAAGACUGAUGCAGCCAUGCCGCGUGUAUGAAGAAGGCCGUAGGGUUGGAAAGUACUUUCAGUGGGGAGGCGUUACCAACAGAAGAAGCACCGGCUAAGUCCGUGCCAGCUGCCGCGGUAAUUC
rnacentral:rRNA from 1 species